rnacentral:rRNA from 1 species
AACUUUCAACAACGGAUCUCUUGGCUCUCGCAUCGAUGAAGAACGCAGCGAAAUGCGAUAAGUAAUGUGAAUUGCAGAAUUCAGUGAAUCAUCGAAUCUUUGAACGCACCUUGCGCUCUUUGGUAUUCCGAAGAGCAUGCCUGUUUGAGUGUCA